UUCCCACUCGCUCCUGCGGAGGAAGGACAGUCAGCGAGAAAGAGACACCCAGAACCAAUCCUGAUCCGGUGGUCUCCAUGGCAACUGGCGCGGGCUGAGACGAUUUCUCAUAAAAAAAAAAAAACGUGACGUUUCAACGCGCCUGCCUCCUCCCUCCAACGACGACACGGCAGAAAAUCCAAUCUGGGCAGUGAUUGGAUUACGGAGGCGAAGCCAGACCCGGCUGGAGGAACCGGAGCUGAACACGGCUGCAGAUUAGUGAAGGCCAACGAGAGCGCGGCUGCCGCCAUCGGUACCUUUUGGGGUCAUGCGAAUGUCAAAGGUCUCGGGGAAAAUGUAGGUGGGGCGGUAGGGGUUUUCCUCAAAAGGCUCUGAGUGAGACAGAGGACAUGAAGGACAGGGACACCAAACUGACGACUCCGGCUCAGGAAAUCGGACUUACCGGAGGAGUAAAGAAAACGUGGUUCCAGUGAACAGAGCGGUCUUUAUUAGUCCAUAGGGAGUAAAUCUGUCUUCAUCAGCCUGGCUGUGACUGCUCACCCGAACAGGCACAAUGGGUUUGCUUAUGGGGCCG